AUGGCGCGGGCGCUCUCCUCCCGGGCGGCGGCGACCCUGUCCCGGCGGCUGGGGGCCCGGCCCGCGGCGCUCAUGGGCCGCCGCGCCAACCACACGCGGCGCCCCCGCGCGAUGGUGCUGGAGCUGGACGCGGCGGGGGCGUCGCCGGCGGCCGCGGAGGGCUCCGCGGGCGCGCUCAAGCGGCGCCUCGAGGAGGCCAUCGACGGCGCCAUGGCCCGCAUGUCGGAGCCCGAGUGGGCGCCCUUCCGGCCCGGCACCUCCUACUACGCGCCGCCCCGCCCCGCGGGCGCCGCCCUCGGCCUGCUCGAGCUCGUCACCCGCGGCGGCGGGAUCGGGGUGCUCCCGCCCCCGCUCUCCGACGACGAGGCCCGCGCCGUCGCCUCCUCCUCCCGCGGCUACCCCUGCUCCGCCUACUUCGUCGACGGGCGCUUUCCGGAUGAGGAGGCGGAGGGAUUCGUAGAGGAUGCAGAUCUAGCUGAAGAGGACUGA
rnacentral:rRNA from 1 species